GAUUAACGCUGGCGGUAUGCAUAACACAUGCAAGUCGAACGGACUUCUUCGGAAGUUAGUGGCGGACGGGUGAGUAACGCGUGAGAAUCUGCCUUAAGGACUGGGAAAACAGCUGGAAACGGCUGCUAAAACCGGAUAUGCAAUAAGUAAAACGGGUAAAACCGCCUUGAGAUGAGCUCGCGUCUGAUUAGCUAGUUGGUGGGGUAAGAGCUUACCAAGGCAUCGAUCAGUAGCUGGUCUGAGAGGAUGAUCAGCCACACUGGGACUGAGACACGGCCCAGACUCCUACGGGAGGCAGCAGUGGGGAAUAUUCCGCAAUGGGCGAAAGCCUGACGGAGCAAUACCGCGUGAGGGAGGAAGGCUCUUGGGUUGUAAACCUCUUUUCUGUGGGAAGAUAAUGACGGUACCACAGGAAUAAGCAUCGGCUAACUCCGUGCCAGCCGCCGCCGUAAGAC
rnacentral:rRNA from 1 species